UAAUGAAACUUUCUCGAGUUAUAAAAGGCUAGUGCUCGACGGCUAAAGGUAUACCACGUACUCAGUUCGUCAUGGCGCUCCCAGGACAACGCUCCUUGCUCUUUCUACUUGUCCUUACGGGCUUCAUAAUGCUGGCAUUCCCGCACGAAGUGGUUUCUGAUUGCAGCGGCCGUUUGUGCCAAUACAGUGAACACUGUAUUGAUUACGGAAACUGUGAAUGCAACAAUACCGGACACUGUGUUCCACCACAAAGAAGAAAGUGAUAAAUGCCAAACACUUGGUCCCUUCGGCAAGGAAGACCAGGGAUUUGCAGCAUUGAUGUGUACGAGUGACCGCAAUGCGGAGCUUCGGCUUCUAUCCUCAGCAGUAUUGUAAACAAUAAAGUACCAGUUUACUUUGCA